rnacentral:rRNA from 1 species
AAAAAUUUUAUUAUWUUAUUWUUWAUWAUAAAGAAACUUAAAAAUUUUGGCAGUUAAAUCUUAAUUUUAGAGGGACUUGUUACACAGAAUUUACUCUUUAUAUCUUUAAAAUUUAUUUAAGUUUAUUAAUCUCCGUUAAAUAAAUCUCCUUUAUCUCAAUUUGCUUAAUUAACACCUCAGGUCAAGAUGUAGCAAUAAAUUUUCAAUAAUUAGUCACAAUAAUACAAUUAUUUAUUAUAAUCAAAAAAAAAAUAAUAAAAUUGAAUUUAAUUGUAAUAAAUAUUACAAAAUAAUUAURAAACCUUARASUUA